rnacentral:lncRNA from 1 species
AAUUCGAAUGUUUCCAUGCAUCCAAAGCAAUCAAAGAUGCCCUAUUGUUUUCCCCUUCUUGUAUGGCGGGAGGAUCUUCAUUCAAGAAUUUCGCUAAGUUGAGGGUUGUGAGAUAAAACAACAUUUUCUGCUGCCACCUUUUGAAAUCAACCCCAACAAAUUUCUCCGGCUUUUCCCCAUGUGAAACGGAGUUUGAAUGUACGAUAGUAGGGGCACCCACAACCGGAGUAGUAGUUGUAUUCACAACGGGAGGAAUCACACCGGUAGGAACACUUCCUUCAGAAGUUCCCAUGUUCGAAGUUUCAUUCGAAGUAGCAUCGGUAUUAAGAACCGUAUUCAUUUCUGUUUACGUAAAAUAGAAGAUCAACCAAAAAUAGAAGUGAAGAAGAAGUUAAACUUAACAAGUUUAACCAAAC